rnacentral:rRNA from 1 species
GAGCUUGCUCCCUGAUGUUAGCGGCGGACGGGUGAGUAACACGUGGGUAACCUGCCUGUAAGACUGGGAUAACUCCGGGAAACCGGGGCUAAUACCGGAUGGUUGUUUGAACCGCAUGGUUCAAACAUAAAAGGUGGCUUCGGCUACCACUUACAGAUGGACCCGCGGCGCAUUAGCUAGUUGGUGAGGUAACGGCUCACCAAGGCAACGAUGCGUAGCCGACCUGAGAGGGUGAUCGGCCACACUGGGACUGAGACACGGCCCAGACUCCUACGGGAGGCAGCAGUAGGGAAUCUUCCGCAAUGGACGAAAGUCUGACGGAGCAACGCCGCGUGAGUGAUGAAGGUUUUCGGAUCGUAAAGCUCUGUUGUUAGGGAAGAACAAGUACCGUUCGAAUAGGGCGGUACCUUGACGGUACCUAACCAGAAAGCCACGGCUAACUACGUGCCAGCAGCCGCGGUAAUACGUAGGUGGCAAGCGUUGUCCGGAAUUAUUGGGCGUAAAGGGCUCGCAGGCGGUUUCUUAAGUCUGAUGUGAAAGCCCCCGGCUCAACCGGGGAGGGUCAUUGGAAACUGGGGAACUUGAGUGCAGAAGAGGAGAGUGGAAUUCCACGUGUAGCGGUGAAAUGCGUAGAGAUGUGGAGGAACACCAGUGGCGAAGGCGACUCUCUGGUCU